UCUCAAAGUGUCGGAUGUCACCGCCAUAGGGAACGUGAGCUGGGUUAGACCGUCGUGAGACAGGUUAGUUUUACCCUACUGACAAAGUAGAUACUGCGACAGUAGUCGAAGUUAGUACGAGAGGAACACUUCGUCCAGAUACUUGGUUAAUGCCGUUGUCUGAAAAGACAGUACGGCGAAGCUACCAUCUGCUGGAUUACGGCUGAACGCCUCUAAGCCGGAAUCCAUGCUGGAUAAGCAGUGUUGUACACCGUGCUCAAUGCUACAAGAAAAAGGCUAGGUCAGGCUUCGGCCUGACCAAAAUUCAAGCUGCUAUACCUCUGGCUGCAUUGACUUGUGGUCAGAGUGUAUGGUGAUCAUAGCAAUUGCAAGUAUUGGGCUCGAUAAAUCCUUUGAAGACGACUUAAUUGCAUCCGGGUAUUGUAAGUGUUGAGAGUAGGCUUAGUCUUACGAUCCACUGAGAUUCAUCCCGUGUUGCGCCGAUUUGU
rnacentral:ncRNA from 1 species